rnacentral:rRNA from 1 species
AACGAACGCUGGCGGCAUGCCUAACACAUGCAAGUCGAACGAGACCUUCGGGUCUAGUGGCGCACGGGUGCGUAACGCGUGGGAAUCUGCCCUUGGGUUCGGAAUAACUCGCCGAAAGGCGUGCUAAUACCGGAUGAUGACGUAAGUCCAAAGAUUUAUCGCCCAAGGAUGAGCCCGCGUUGGAUUAGCUAGUUGGUGAGGUAGAGGCUCACCAAGGCGACGAUCCAUAGCUGGUCUGAGAGGAUGAUCAGCCACACUGGGACUGAGACACGGCCCAGACUCCUACGGGAGGCAGCAGUGGGGAAUAUUGGACAAUGGGCGAAAGCCUGAUCCAGCAAUACCGCGUGAGUGAUGAAGGCCUUAGGGUUGUAAAGCUCUUUUACCCGGGAUGAUAAUGACCGUACCGGGAGAAUAAGCUCCGGCUAACUCCGUG